rnacentral:lncRNA from 1 species
ACUGGCAUUUCAUGGGCUGGAGCCAGGGGUGGAAAACACCUUGAUGGGUAGGACAGUCCCACAAAAGGAAGAACUGUCCUGCCCAAAAUGUGAAUAGUAACCUUGUUUAGAAAAAAAAUAGUAGAUUAGACUGAUCAUGACACACUUCCCAAAAGAACAAUCUAUCCCAGCGACGGCAGUUGAAGAGCGUUUCAGUGACGCCAUGUGAUGGGGACAUCACCCAGGUGGAGAGGGCCUGGCUGCGUUGGUACCACUGGAAAAGGUCUCCGGGUCACUGGGGACCUCAGGUUGAGUACAAGGAAGCAACAAAGGGCUCAGGGAAAUCGUCUGGACCCGAAGCUUCAAAACCGGUUUAUUUGGAUAAUCCCUCACCAGGCCUCCCUGCCUCAGCGCCUGGUUUCUCUAAGGAUUUAUUUUGUGAAAAUGUCUCUCUCAACAAGUAAGUUAUCCUAGUCUGAGCCGACGAGGGAAUUCUUCUCUGUGUUCAAAACCACAAAGCCCGGGCAGCCCUUCUGCAUCCCAGCACAACUUUCUGCAGCGUCAGGUUAUGAAUCACUCAUCAAAUCUGAAAACGAUUCCAGGCCAGGCCGGGCACGUGGGGGAGGGCAGCUUCCUUCUACUCCCAGCUUCUGGGCUGCUGCGCAGGCUCGGACCAGCUUCUCCUGACCCUGACUCCCCAAGGGGCACCUGCCUGGGACCCCAGAAAUGCCCAGACUGGGUUGGGUCUGAUCACCUGUGCCAGAUCCUUUACACAGAUGAAUUCCUUGAGGCUGUGGAUUGCCAGUGUGGCUAUGGGCCAGGGUGUCAGGCCUGAAAUCCUGAUUUGGAGAUUUCAAGACAAAAGGUCAUCUCCUUGCAGCAUCUCAUGCCCAGACAGAACGGCAGCCUGGCCCGUCGCGUGCAGCUGGAGCCUCGCACCUUGGGACGGAUGCCGUCAGGGAGCCGAGAAAACACUCCUCCCGCAGGCCACUGGGAGCUGUCAGGCAGGCGGAUCUGCAUGGAGGCCAAUUCAAGGCCCCUAAGGAAGCAAGUGACGAGACCACAGAGGUGCUGGGGUCCCAGAGGGGAAUGGCUCCCUACUGCUUCCAGUGUCAGCCAUAGCUCAUCACUCAAGGCUUCUUCUCUCAACAGACUCAAACCUCUCCUGCCAUUUCUUUCUCACACUUUGCUUCACCAUGGCUCCUACAAACCUGCCCCUUUCCAGCCUCCAGGCCUUUGCCUAGGCUGUUCCCCCUGCUAAGAAUGCCCUUCUUUCCAUCCACCAUGUAUCAAAAUCCUACCUAUCAAAUAAUGCCAUCCUGACAGCAAAGGUUGAAGGACUUUCCCCUCUGCACUCAACAUAUUCCAUCUCAUACACAAGUAUGUACGAAAAAGUGUGACCUUGGGUAUAUCACUGAACAUCUCAGAGCCUGCUUUUUUACCUGCAAAAUGAGUGUUAUUAACUAUUAUGGGCCAGGUGCAGUGGCUCACGCCUGUAAUCUCAGCACUUUGGGAGGCCGAGGCGGGCAGAUCACUUGAGAUCAGGAGUUCGAGACCAGCCUGCCCAACAUGGUGAAACCCCGUCUCUACUAAAAAUACAAAAACUUAGCUGGGUGUGGUGGUGCGUACCUAUAAUCCCAGCUAUUUGGGAGGCUGAGGCAGGAGAAUUGCUUGAACCCGGGAGGCAAAGGUUGCAGUGAGCCAAGAUCAUGCCACUGCACUCCAGCCUGGGCAACAGAGUAAGACUCCAUUUCAAAAAAAAAAAAAAGAAAAAAAAUAUUAUGCAGGGUUGUUGGGGGAAUACAUUAGAGCAUGUCAGAACCUCACCUAUGAUGGUGCCUGGCACUUAGUGGGGACUCAAUGGUAGAGGCUGCUGUGAUCAUCGACGAGGGAAAAAGAAAAGAAGAAGAAGGAGAAAGAGCAAAAAAGAAAGAAGAGGUAGAGGAAGAGGAAGAGGAAAAAGCGAUGGAGUAGGAGAAGGAGAAAGAGGAGGAAGGAGGCCUUGCCUAUCACCUCUACUAGGAUAUAAUUCUUUGCCAUCAGAACGUCGAUUCUCUUUAAUUUCCCUCUAUAUCCCCUAGCAUCCUAGAGUCUUUCAAAAAUGAUUGUUGAAUGGAUGGACAGAUGGAUGGAUGAAGGAGGGAGGGUGGGAUUGUGAGAAGGAAGGAUGUACGGACAGAUGAGCAGAAACAGAUCAGUCUGGAGGAGACGGAGUGUGCUAUCCCAGAAGCCUAGCAGCAGAGCAUCUCACUGGCAGCAGAGGCUUCUGGGACCAGAUGCCAAAUCUGUUCCCCUGCUGUUGCAUCUCCUCCUGGCUCUAAGCUCCUGUGCUCCUGGCCAGCAUCGGUCUGCUCUCAAGGUGGAGUGAGUAGAAGCUCGGGGCAGCUGACACCCAGGGGAGUUCCAGCUCUUCCCCCACCUGUCACCAGCCUCUGACAGCAGGAACAUAUCUCCAAAAGUGUGGGCCAAGUCAGUGGGAAAAUAGGAUUUACUUUACAGAAAUUCACUUUGGGGGCCAACUUCUCCAGAACUCUGCAGUGCAAAAACCUUGGCAAAUCCAUAGUCAAUGGCUCAGAAGGUUUCUCCAAACCUGGGGAGUGUGCUGUUUGCUAGCUCUUUCCAGGACCAGAAACUGGAAAAUGAGGAAAUGUCACAGUCCAGAUACAAAAGGGAGUCUCAGGGGGAGAAAUGUACUCUGGUUUUUGGUGUUUGUUUAUUUAUCCAUCAAUUUCAUUGAUGUAUCCAUCCGACUAUCCAAAGCAGGCAACCAUCCUGCCAUUGUCCCUUCACUCACGAAACCAUCCUGUUAUCUAUCUAUCUACCUCUCCAUCUAUUCAGCCAACCAGCCAACCAUCAACCACCCAACAAUCUACCUCACCAUCAACCCAACCAUCCAAUCCAUGCACUUAUCUUCUAUCUAUCCAGCCACUUAUCUAUCUAACCAUCAAUCACUCAUCUACUCAUCCAACUGCUGAGCUGCUCACCCAACCAUCUAACUGUACACUACCCAACCAGCAUGGAUGAGAAUCUCCCAGUACAAUUGGGGAGAAACCUAUAUACAUGGUAUGGCAUAACCUAGGCAAUAUAAAAGGGUUGCGUAUAAGGUGCCACCAAGGACACAGAGGCCACAAAGAGCAGAAGCGGGAGGGGCCAGUGAGAGAGAUCAGAGCAGGCUUCACACAGGAAGAGAUGCUCAAGCUUCAUCUUAACAGACAGCAAGAAGUGACCAGGGAGAGAUGGUGAAAAGGGUACCCAGGUGAGGAGGAGAGGGAAGAGCAACAUAAAACAGUAUGGUGGAUUCUAGGAGCCCAAAGCCUUGAGUCCUCAAAACUACUUGGUUAGCUGUGGGCCCUGGGCCCGUCCCCAGUUUUUCCAAGUCCACCAGACUCUAUAAUUCCCUCUUGAUUCCUAGAGAGAAAGGGCCAUGUCCUGUGGCAGCUGGGUGGGAAGCUGCCAUCUGCUGCCCUGGGCUGUGCUCUGAUGGCUACAACAGGGUUAAACCCAGGAGGGAGAGAAAAGUGGGCACCCUGAGAUUUUGUGAAACAGGCUUUGCUACCAAGCGAACCCAGGUAGAAAUCCCAACUUCUUAUUUUGCGACAAGUUAUUUAACUUCUGCGUCUUUCUUCGCCUUCUUCUGAAAAUGAAGAAAACACCAAGAGCUCUAUGCUAGGCCAUUGUGAGGACGGAACCAGCUAAUACAGAGGGAGUACUUGGUAAGCUGUGGGAAAUACUAG